GUCGUUGUAGUAUAGUGGUGAGUAUUUCCGCCUGUCACGCGGUGACCCGGGUUCGAUCCCCGGCAACGGCG
rnacentral:tRNA from 1 species